CCAGGAAGGAAAAUCUCCAUCAGAAUCAGAACCAGAACUAGGAAGGAAGACCUCCAAAAGAACUAGAACUAGGAAAGAAAACGUCCUUCAGAACCAGAACCAGGAAG